GACUCUUCUGUGGUUAAAGUUGAAACAAAUUCAUGGUUUCUAUGGGUCAGAUCAAAGUACCCUACGCAUAGGCCGGAAGAGACAUUAUCCAGAAAACUCGAUUUCAUGUCAUGUCUUAAAGAGCCUGACUCAAAAGAGAUAAGGCUAGUCUAAAAGAGCGUCGUCUCAAUGAAUAUCUGUACUGGGACUCAGGCUAACAUUAUUUCUGUAAUCUAGUCUGCAUAGAGUUCUCUGGGAUUUUGAGCCCUUGCUGGUCUUGAAAGAAAAUGCAUCCUGUGGUGGUGGACUUGAAAAAUAUUCCCUUAAGCUCCAAACGACAGCAAACACAAACACCUAUGCAAGAUUUUAUAAUCUCUCUCCUUGGACAAAACCCUAAUAUGAUCCCAAACUGUGAUCAUAACUAUCAUGAUUCACAUAAUCCUCUCCAUCUUGAUCAAAACCUACAUCGUAAUUCUCACAACUCUCAUUACUUUGAUCAACCCCAGAUCCAGAACUAGAAGUGGACCCAUCAGUUUCAAUCACAGACCUCCUUCCACACCCAGAACCCAAUGAAGCAACCCCUAAAGUAGCUGAAUUUCUUGGAACAGGUAUGCUAGACAAAAACCCUUCACUGAGAAGAAUCAGAUUGCAAAAAAGUCUCAUUCUUUUUUCUUUUCCUCUCCUCUCCUUUCCCUCCUCACCUUCAUCAUCCUCCACAUCCAAAAUCGAGUGCCUGUUAAUGGGAGGCUUAAACUGAACAACCCUUUUAGGAUUAGCAUUUAAAGGUGUGAAACAUGAUAUGGGUUGCUGUGAAGUUUCAGUUUUUGGCUGUGGAAAUGAAGAGAAAAGCUUAAGAUGGAAGAUUUGAAGGGAUGGCUCAAACAUCAGAUCAGGGUAGGAUUGAAAUCUGGUUGUCAUGAGAUAGUAGCUUAGACACGGCAACGGUGCUUAGCAUGGAGCCCCAUUUCCUCCUCCUUUCGAAUGAAGGCCAGGAUAGGUUUGGAGUGCUUAGGACCAGGAAAGGUUUGGAUUCGAGAUAUUAGGUCAAGGUUAGGGGAUCGGGCUCUAAGCAUCCAAGGAUAGGGCUCGGUUUGAGGCGCCCGAGGAACGAACUAUGAUUACGUCUCGAGGGAAAGAUGGGGACGGGUUUGAGUCUAGGCUUUUGAGUAUGAGAUUAGGUUUAGGUCAAGGUUGAGUUUAGAUCAGAUCUAGGGUGCUCAAAGUCGGGGUUGGUUUUAAGUCCUCGACAAUCACAAUCAAAAGAUAGAGCCUAAGGUAAUUGAAGAUCUAGCUGGGUCAGGUUUGAGGUGUCUUAAUUGGAUGUAAUUUUAUUCUAAGAUGCUUGAUGGAAAGAGUGAGAUCAUGCUAAGUCCUGAGCACGUAAGGGGUUAAGAUCGAGAUUAAGAUUAAGAUCGAGAUUAAGAUUAAGAUUCAAUAUUGGAUCAGUUCUUCAUGCUUGCCUCUAGAUUUUCUCCAGCCACCAGACGACAGAUGUUAACAGAGCUUGCAGAUUGGUGGCUUGGCUUUGAUAAUUACGUACUGACUCCAAGAAUAAAAAUAAUUGAGUGUGUUGUGUUUGAUACUGAGUAAAUCUUCAUGGAGAUUUUCAUGCCUCGGGACUCUGUUACGCAGGGACAAGAUUCUUGGUUGCCUACUUGUGGAAGGCUUUGGCAGGGGAUAGAUCUCUACUUCUUGCUAAUUUCUGCUGUAGGGUUAUGUCUGUGCCUUGGCAUGACUAUUUUGUUCAUGUUUUUCCAGCUUUCCCCGACCCUUUCGGGUUGUUAAUUUUGCCUUCUUCAGGCUUUAAUGUAUUUGCCUAUAAAAAAAAGAGAGAAUUAAGAGCUCUUCGGGUCUUAGAAGUCAAGCGUAGGAGGUUAAGAUUGGUAAGCUUGAAGUUGAGAUCGGGACUGAGAAAAGGAAUUGAUACAAGUUCUUUUAA